rnacentral:rRNA from 1 species
AGUCAAGUAAUUAAGUGCAUGUGGUGGAUGCCUUGGCAGUCAGAGGCGAUGAAAGACGUGAUAGCCUGCGAAAAGCUCCGGGGAGGCGGCAAAUAUCCUUUGAUCCGGAGAUGUCUGAAUGGGGGAACCCACCUACUUUAAGGUAGGUAUUGCAACAUGAAUACAUAGUGUUGCAAGGCGAACGAGGGGAAGUGAAACAUCUCAGUACCCUUAGGAAAAGAAAUCAAUUGAGAUUCCCUCAGUAGCGGCGAGCGAACGGGGAUCAGCCCAUUAAGUUAUGUGUGUUUUAGUGGAACGCUCUGGGAAGUGCGAACGUAGAGGGUGAUAUUCCCGUACACGAAAGGGCACACAUAAUGAUGACGAGUAGGGCGAGGCACGUGAAACCUUGUCUGAAUAUGGGGGGACCAUCCUCCAAGGCUAAAUACUCCUGACUGACCGAUAGUG